UGUACCCCAGAGGGAGGAAUAACUGCCCGAAAGGUGCUAAUACCGCAAACGGUUUUCGGAGUUAAGCCUUCGGGCGUAUGUGGGAACAGCUUUCGUACGAUUAGAUAGUUGAUGAGGUGAAGGCUCACCAAGUCAACGAUCGUUAACUGGUCUGAGAGGAUGAUCAGUCAGACUGGAACUGAGAUACGGUCCAGACUCGUACGGGAGGCAGCAGUGAGGAAUCUUCCACAAUGGGGGCAACCCUGAUGGAGCAACGCCGCGUGCAGGAUGAAGGCCUUCGGGUCGUAAACUGCUUUUAUAGGUGAAUAAUAUGAAUGUAGCUUAUGAAUAAGCACCGGCUAACUACGUGCCAGCAGCCGCGGUCAUACGUAGGGUGCAAGCAUUAUCCGGAGUGACUGGGCGUAAAGAGUUGCGUAGGUGGUUUGUCAAGUGAAUAGUGAAAUCUGGUGGCUCAACCACACAGACUAUUAUUCAAACUGGCAAACUCGAGAAUAGCAGAGGUAACUGGAAUUUCUAGUGUAGGAGUGAAAUCCGUAGAUAUUAGAAGGAACACCAAUGGCGUAGGCAGGUUACUG
rnacentral:rRNA from 1 species